GGCAACCUACGGCGGGCAGCAGUGGGGAAUAUUGCACAAUGGGGGAAACCCUUAUGCAGCGACGCCGCGUGGGCGACGAAGCGCUCCGGCGCGUAAAGCCCUGUCAGCAGGGAAGAACAAAGACAGUACCUGACCAAGAAGCCCCGGCUAACUACGUGCCAGCAGCCGCGGUAAUACGUAGGGGGCAAGCGUUAUCCGGAUUCACUGGGCGUAAAGGGAGCGCAGGCGGGACGGCAAGUCUGGUGUGAAAGCCCGGGGCCCAACCCCG
rnacentral:rRNA from 1 species